GAUGAACGCUGGCGGCGUGCCUAAUACAUGCAAGUCGAGCGAACGGACGAGAAGCUUGCUUCUCUGAUGUUAGCGGCGGACGGGUGAGUAACACGUGGAUAACCUACCUAUAAGACUGGGAUAACUUCGGGAAACCGGAGCUAAUACCGGAUGAUAUUUUGAACCGCAUGGUUCAAAAGUGAAAGACGGUCUUGCUGUCACUUAUAGAUGGAUCCGCGCUGCAUUAGCUAGUUGGUAAGGUAACGGCUUACCAAGGCAACGAUGCAUAGCCGACCUGAGAGGGUGAUAGGCCACACGGGAACUGAGACACGGUCCAGACUCCUACGGGAGGCAGCAGUAGGGAAUCUUCCGCAAUGGGCGAAAGCCUGACGGAGCAACGCCGCGUGAGUGAUGAAGGUCUUCGGAUCGUAAAACUCUGUUAUUAGGGAAGAACAUAUGUGUAAGUAACUGUGCACAUCUUGACGGUACCUAAUCAGAAAGCCACGGCUAACUACGUG
rnacentral:rRNA from 1 species